AACGCGAAGAACCUUACCCAGACUUGACAUACAGUGGAAUAUCGUAGAAAUAUGAUAGCCCUUCGGGGCCGCUGAACAGGUGCUGCAUGGCUGUCGUCAGCUCGUGCCGUGAGGUGUUGGGUUAAGUCCCGCAACGAGCGCAACCCUUAUCGUUAGUUGCCAACAGGUAAUGCUGGGAACUCUAGCGAGACUGCCUGGGUUAACCAGGAGGAAGGUGAGGAUGACGUCAAGUCCGCAUGGCCCUUAUGUCUGGGGCUACACACGUGCUACAAUGGUCGGUACAGAAGGCAGCGAAGCCGCGAGGUGAAGCAAAUCCCGAAAGCCGGCCCCAGUUCAGAUUGUAGUCUGCAACUCGACUACAUGAAGACGGAAUUGCUAGUAAUGGCAGGUCAGCAACACUGCCGUGAAUACGUUCCCGGGCCUUUACACACCGCUAGUC
rnacentral:rRNA from 1 species